GGGGGCGACAUGGGUUCGACGGGGGUAUUGCGCGUAGCAAUGGGCUGUGUGCCGGGUUUACCUGGAGCCCGUAAUAUUCAGGUGAACCAUAAACGCCAACGAAAUGGCACUCGCCGCUUAAGUAAAGUGGCGUGGGGGAUUUGCCCUCGCCUGUCGGGGCUUAUCUCUCAUCGGUUAGAUGGGCUGGGAUAUGAUGGAGAGUGCCCGCCAUCACAUCUGAGAUUCUGAGGGGCGCUUGGUUGGGCUAUAAACCCGCCCUGAGGUUUUAAGCCCGACGACAACAAAAAUCAGGGAUAUGCACACUAAACCCCCUUGUGAAAGACCUCCGGACGGGGGUUCGAUUCCCCCCGCCUCCAUUU
rnacentral:tmRNA from 1 species